CUUUGUCACUGUUUCCACGACAGAACACUUGGAUGUCAACAAUAUUCAAACUCUUUUCCAAAUCCUUUUCAUCUUGUCUUCAUGCUUCGCAAAUAGUGGACAUCUAAAUCUGACAUCCUAUUUCAAGCCCAUGAUCCAUUCAGAGCAUGAAGAUACGGAAGAAUGGUGCAAGGGGCAAAUCUUGAAGGGAGUUGGACUCCACACUUCAGUAAGUGUUCUCUAUUUGGAUACCUGUGACCUUACUCUUUGCUAGAGAAGAUAUAGC